AAAAUAAUUUUCGUCCAAUAUUGUUUUAUAUUUAUUAAAAAAAAAAAACCUGAAUCCCUUCCGCUUCCCCUUUCUCUCUAUUGCCGCUUACACGCUGCCCUUUUUCAACCUGUUCUUGUCACUGUUGCUGUCUUGCACUCGGAAAAAUCUUGCAGCUCACACCCUUUAAGCUUAUUACCGUCUUUCUUCAUGAAGCAAGCCACGCUAUUGUUUGUAAACUUACCUGCGGCCAUGUAAAAGAAAUCUACGUUCAUACUCAUAAAGGAGGAAAAACCCAAAUCCAUAGAGGUGUGAUGAACAAUUUAUUUUCCGUUUGUGAUAUGUGUUUGAAAAAGGAUCUCAAGUUGGCAAAAAGAGAGGAGAAGAAGAAAGGGAAUGGCUUCAGAAUAGAGAAGGAGAAGGAAAAGAAAAAGAAAAAGAAAGAGAAAAACUAGGAAAGAGUUGGAGAAGGAGAAAGUGGAAGAGAAAGAGAUAUGGCAACUGAAAAAAGGUUGGAAAAAGGGAAUGUGUUUUUUUUUUUUUAAAUAAAUACAAAAUGAAUGGUAAGGAUAGACUGAAAUUAUUUUAGGGAUUACUAUGUAGGGUGUCCAUGGAUCGGAUUGUAUCUGUAGAUCCACAGUAAAUAUCCGCAUCUGAUUCGAAAAGUGCGGAUACGAUCCGAUCCGCAAAUUGAUCGGAUCGGAUAGGAUCCGAUUCCGCACUCUUUGCGGAUCGGAUCGCGGAUAUCUGUUCUACAUCCGCAUAUCUGAUCCGCGGAUCCGCACAAUAAUAAUUAUAAAUAAAUAAAUAAAUAUGUUUAGUAUUAUAUGUACUUGUUUGUAUGUUUUAAUUAGUAAUUAUUAUCCAUAUAUUGUAUUAUUUUAUUUUUGUUAUUUAGAAAGAGUUUGAUUAAAAAUAUUUUAGGAAUAAAUAAGUUUAAAAGUAUAAAAAAAAUAUUUUUAUUGAAUUUUUUUACAUAGAAAUAUGAUUAAAAAGAUAAAGUUUAAUUAUAUGGAUAUUUGCGGAUCGGAUCUGACACUAAAAAGCGCGGAUAUCAUAUCAGAUCCGAUCCGAUGAAAAUUGUGCGGAUCGGAUCGAAUUUUCGACCAUAUCCGAUCCGAUCCACAUACACCCUAUGAGUUUUGGAGGACAAUUUCAAAGAUAAAUUUGAGUAAUUAUUAACUUUAGAUACCAUUUUAAAGUUCGUAUAUAAAUUCAGGAACUACUUUAAAAUUUAAUUCGUUAAAUUUCUAUAUUUUCUAUUUUUCAAUUUAGUAUUUUUAAACCAUUUUAAUUUUUUUAAUUAAGUCUUCAUUGGCAAGAAUUAAAAAAAAUUUAUAAAUGGUGAAUUUACUAUUACACUCAACUUCAUUGUCACUAAUGAGGUUAGAGCACUCUUCUGCCGUCCCACUCCUUUGAAGGCUUCUGGUUAUUUUCUAACCAUUGUUUUCAUUUUCUGCCACCUUUGUUCUUCUUCUCUUUCUAUCACCAUCGUUUAUGUUGAUAAAUUUGAGGAUGAUGAGGAUGAGAAAGGGGAAGAAGAAGUGGGGAAGAAGCAUGUGGUGCCUUUAUCUUUCGCUUCUGGUCGAUGAUGAUGGGUACAUUUCUUUUUUGACAU